rnacentral:rRNA from 1 species
GAUGAACGCUGGCGGCGUGCCUAAUACAUGCAAGUCGAGCGAACGGACGGGAAGCUUGCUUCUCUGAUGUUAGCGGCGGACGGGUGAGUAACACGUGGAUAACCUACCUAUAAGACUGGGAUAACUUCGGGAAACCGGAGCUAAUACCGGAUGAUAUUUUGAACCGCAUGGUUCAAAAGUGAAAGACGGUCUUGCUGUCACUUAUAGAUGGAUCCGCGCUGCAUUAGCUAGUUGGUAAGGUAACGGCUUACCAAGGCAACGAUGCAUAGCCGACCUGAGAGGGUGAUCGGCCACACUGGAACUGAGACACGGUCCAGACCCCUACGGGAGGCAGCAGUAGGGAAUCUGCCGCAAUGGGCGAAAGCCUGACGGAGCAACGCCGCGUGGGUGAUGAAGGUCUUCGGAUCGUAAAACUCUGUUAUUAGGGAAGAACAUAUGUGUAAGUAACUGUGCACAUCUUGACGGUACCUAAUCAGAAAGCCACGGCUAACUACGG